rnacentral:lncRNA from 1 species
AUAAUAUCAUACAGAAGGCAAAAAUUAAAGGCAACUUCAACAAGUUAAUGCCACAAAUAUAAAAGUAAUAAAAUUAUCAUUUGUAAAACAUAUAAAAAGAAAAAUAAAAAUCCAUCCACCAUAUACUCCUCCCUUUAUCUCCUCAUACUCAAAACCAUCUCCCCAUUUUUUGCUAAAAAAUGCAAAGGCAUUAAAUCCCACGAGCAAGCAAAUCGGUCUUCUAGCGGAGAGUACGAGUCCUCUAUUGAUUAAGGGGCUUCAAUUGAAUCUCAUAAUAUCGUAUGUUCUUGUCCAAACAGGCUAACUCUUCAUCAAGGUGUUCUGUAAGUCUAGCUUGAUUUGUGCUAGAUAUGCCACCAGAUGUUGCUUUAGUUACAAAUGGGGCAACAAUACAAGAUCUACAUCUUCAUUAGUAUCAUCUCCUAAAUCAGUGUUAAUAGCAGAAUGUUUACCCCUUUUCCACUUUUGAGAAUACUUCAAUUCACCCACUUGAGGCUCAAGAACCUCAUCCUUCUCUACUAUAUCUUUCUUUCGCUUAAGGAGGUUUUGGUCAAUGAGUG